rnacentral:rRNA from 1 species
GAUGAACGCUAGCUACAGGCUUAACACAUGCAAGUCGAGGGGCAGCAUGGUCUUAGCUUGCUAAGGCUGAUGGCGACCGGCGCACGGGUGAGUAACACGUAUCCAACCUGCCGUCUACUCUUGGCCAGCCUUCUGAAAGGAAGAUUAAUCCAGGAUGGCAUCAUGAGUUCACAUGUCCGCAUGAUUAAAGGUAUCUUCCGGUAGACGAUGGGGAUGCGUUCCAUUAGAUAGUAGGCGGGGUAACGGCCCACCUAGUCAACGAUGGAUAGGGGUUCUGAGAGGAAGGUCCCCCACAUUGGAACUGAGACACGGUCCAAACUCCUACGGGAGGCAGCAGUGAGGAAUAUUGGUCAAUGGGCGAUGGCCUGAACCAGCCAAGUAGCGUGAAGGAUGACUGCCCUAUGGGUUGUAAACUUCUUUUAUAAAGGAAUAAAGUCGGGUAUGCAUACCCGUUUGCAUGUACUUUAUGAAUAAGGAUCGGCUAACUCCGUGCCAGCAGCCGCGGUAAUACGGAGGAUCCGAGCGUUAUCCGGAUUUAUUGGGUUUAAAGGGAGCGUAGAUGGAUGUUUAAGUCAGUUGUGAAAGUUUGCGGCUCAACCGUAAAAUUGCAGUUGAUACUGGAUGUCUUGAGUGCAGUUGAGGCAGGCGGAAUUCGUGGUGUAGCGGUGAAAUGCUUAGAUAUCACGAAGAACUCCGAUUGCGAAGGCAGCCUGCUAAGCUGCAACUGACAUUGAGGCUCGAAAGUGUGGGUAUCAAACAGG